GACGAACGCUGGCGGCGUGCUUAACACAUGCAAGUCGAACGGAAAGGCCCUGCUUUUGUGGGGUGCUCGAGUGGCGAACGGGUGAGUAACACGUGAGUAACCUGCCCUUGACUUUGGGAUAACUUCAGGAAACUGGGGCUAAUACCGGAUAGGAGCUCCUGCUGCAUGGUGGGGGUUGGAAAGUUUCGGCGGUUGGGGAUGGACUCGCGGCUUAUCAGCUUGUUGGUGGGGUAGUGGCUUACCAAGGCUUUGACGGGUAGCCGGCCUGAGAGGGUGACCGGCCACAUUGGGACUGAGAUACGGCCCAGACUCCUACGGGAGGCAGCAGUGGGGAAUAUUGCACAAUGGGCGGAAGCCUGAUGCAGCAACGCCGCGUGCGGGAUGACGGCCUUCGGGUUGUAAACCGCUUUCGCCUGUGACGAAGCGUGAGUGACGGUAAUGGGUAAAGAAGCACCGGCUAACUACGUGCCAGCAGCCGCGGUGAUACGUAGGGUGCGAGCGUUGUCCGGAUUUAUUGGGCGUAAAGGGCUCGUAGGUGGUUGAUCGCGUCGGAAGUGUAAUCUUGGGGCUUAACCCUGAGCGUGCUUUCGAUACGGGUUGACUUGAGGAAGGUAGGGGAGAAUGGAAUUCCUGGUGGAGCGGUGGAAUGCGCAGAUAUCAGGAGGAACACCAGUGGCGAAGGCGGUUCUCUGGGCCUUUCCUGACGCUGAGGAGCGAAAGCGUGGGGAGCGAACAGGCUUAGAUACCCUGGUAGUCCACGCUGUAAACGGUGGGUACUAGGUGUGGGGUCCAUUCCACGGGUUCCGUGCCGUAGCUAACGCUUUAAGUACCCCGCCUGGGGAGUACGGCCGCAAGGCUAAAACUCAAAGGAACUGACGGGGCCCCGCACAAGCGGCGGAGCAUGCGGAUUAAUUCGAUGCAACGCGUAGAACCUUACCUGGGUUUGACAUGGAUCGGGAGCGCUCAGAGAUGGGUGUGCCUCUUUUGGGGUCGGUUCACAGGUGGUGCAUGGCUGUCGUCAGCUCGUGUCGUGAGAUGUUGGGUUAAGUCCCGCAACGAGCGCAACCCUUGUUCACUGUUGCCAGCACGUUAUGGUGGGGACUCAGUGGAGACCGCCGGGGUCAACUCGGAGGAAGGUGGGGAUGACGUCAAGUCAUCAUGCCCCUUAUGUCCAGGGCUUCACGCAUGCUACAAUGGCUGGUACAGAGAGUGGCGAGCCUGUGAGGGUGAGCGAAUCUCGGAAAGCCGGUCUCAGUUCGGAUUGGGGUCUGCAACUCGACCUCAUGAAGUCGGAGUCGCUAGUAAUCGCAGAUCAGCAACGCUGCGGUGAAUACGUUCCCGGGGCU
rnacentral:rRNA from 1 species